rnacentral:misc_RNA from 1 species
GGGUUAUCUCCUUAUAAGACAAAGCCCAAUCUUGUGAGUUCUUUGGUCCCUUACAUCAAGGGAGCAGAUGAGCUUUUAUUUAAAGAGAUGAAGACAAAGGACAAUGGAAAUUCCAUUUACAGCCUACACAAGAAAAAACUUCAAGAACUGUGCAAGAAGUAUGGUUUGUCUCCUCAUAAGACAAAACCCGAUCUUGUGAAUUCCCUGGUCAAUUACUUCAAGA